rnacentral:misc_RNA from 1 species
AAGUCGUAACAAGGUUUCCGUAGGUGAACCUGCGGAAGGAUCAUUAGUUUGACAGGCCCGUUCGCGCGGUUACCUGAAAACCCCUCCUUACAGCGGCCCGGGGUUCGGCGGCAAGGGCGAAGCCCCUCGCGGGGCCGGAGGUCCGCCGGAAUCUCGCAAACCAUGCCUUGAAACUGCGGUCUGAGAGAAUGAUGAAUUAGCGAAAAC